GACGAACGCUGGCGGCGUGCUUAACACAUGCAAGUCGAACGCUGAAGCCCUUUCGGGGGUGGAUGAGUGGCGAACGGGUGAGUAACACGUGGGUAAUCUGCCCUGUACUUCGGGAUAAGCCUUGGAAACGGGGUCUAAUACCGGAUAGGACCUGUCCUCGCAUGGGGGUGGGUGGAAAGUUCCGGCGGUAUGGGAUGAGCCCGCGGCCUAUCAGCUUGUUGGGGGGGUAGUGGCCUACCAAGGCGACGACGGGUAGCCGGCCUGAGAGGGUGACCGGUCACACUGGGACUGAGACGCGGCCCAGACUCCUACGGGAGGCAGCAGUGGGGAAUCUUGCGCAAUGGGCGAAAGCCUGACGCAGCAACGCCGCGUGGGGGAUGACGGCCUUCGGGUUGUAAACCUCUUUCGACAUCGACGAAGGGGCCCUGUUGUGGGGUUUUGACGGUAGGUGCAGAAGAAGCACCGGCUAACUACGUGCCAGCCGCCGCGGUAA
rnacentral:rRNA from 1 species